rnacentral:rRNA from 1 species
UACGAAGGGGGCUAGCGUUGUUCGGAAUCACUGGGCGUAAAGCGCACGCAGGCGGAUUGAUAAGUCAGGGGUGAAAUCCCGGGGCUCAACCUCGGAAUUGCCUUUGAUACUGCAAGUCGUGAGUCCGGAAGAGGUGAGUGGAAUUCCUAGUGUAGAGGUGAAAUUCGUAGAUAUUAGGAAGAACACCAGUGGCGAAGGCGGCUCACUGGUCCGGUACUGACGCUGAGGUGCGAAAGCGUGGGGAGCAAACAGG